UACGAAGGGUGCAAACGUUGCUCGGAAUUAUUGGGCGUAAAGCGCACGUAGGCGGUUAUUCAAGUUGGAUGUGAAAGCCCUCGGCUCAACCAAGGAAGUGCAUCCAAAACUGAAUGACUUGAGUACUAAAGAGGAUCGUGGAAUUCCCGGUGUAGAAGUGAAAUUCAUAGAUAUCGGGAGGAACAUCUGUGGCGAAGGCGACGAUCUGGGUAGAUACUUACGCUGAGGUGCGAAAGCGUGGGGAGCAAACAGG
rnacentral:rRNA from 1 species